CCUACGGGGGGCAGCAGUGAGGAAUAUUGGUCAAUGGGCGCGAGCCUGAACCAGCCAAGUCGCGUGAGGGAAGACGGUCCUAUGGAUUGUAAACCUCUUUUGUCGGGGAGCAAAAGACGCCACGCGUGGCGUUCCGAGCGUACCCGAAGAAAAAGCAUCGGCUAACUCCGUGCCAGCAGCCGCGGUAAUACGGAGGAUGCGAGCGUUAUCCGGAUUUAUUGGGUUUAAAGGGUGCGCAGGCGGAAGAUCAAGUCAGCGGUAAAAUUGAGAGGCUCAACCUCUUCGAGCCGUUGAAACUGGUGUUCUUGAGUGAGUGAGAAGUAGGCGGAAUGCGUGGUGUAGCGGUGAAAUGCAUAGAUAUCACGCAGAACUCCGAUUGUGAAGGCAGCAUACCGGCGCUCAACUGACGCUCAUGCACGAAAGUGUGGGUAUCGAACAGGAUUAGAUACCCGGGUAGUC
rnacentral:rRNA from 1 species